GGUCCGGCUCGUACAUGAGGUGCAGAAGCGGCAUUCAUCGGUGGGAUAUUUCACCGAGCAAUUCUCGUGCGUCCGGUGGCUUCCUGCUGCGAAAGACGGAGACGCGGAACUUGCUGAUGAUCCUAGCUGGGUUAGAUCAAGAACAAGGGGUUUCUGGAAUCACAGCGUAGGCCAAGGAAAGAGGCCGAGUAGCAGGAGAGUUGGGGCGGGCAGACAUGGGGGAAAGGCGAUCGAAUCGUCAGUGCUAAAGGUGGUCGGCCAAGGCGUUUAUGGUGUGCGGUUUUGCAGCAUUGAUGGUGGAAAGAAGGAAAAUUCAUGUUCCAAGUGUAGAAACACCAGAAAGCAGUGGAAAACAAUCUUGAAGAUGGCGGAGAAGGUAGUAUUGAUGGUCAUAGAAGCAUGAUCAAGAUAUGGUAAUCGAAAACUGACCUCAUCAAGGAUUGGCUCUUGAUGCUUCUCCGUUGGAGAUGGUGAACCGUGUCAUGGCAGAGGGUCAAAGAGCCACUCUGUGGGUGGCUUUUGAUGAGGUAAGAGACCCUCAAAACUUAGUAGCCCUAAUUAGGUCAGCAGCCUAUUCCGUUGCAGCAGAAGGGUUGAUCCUAGGGAGGCCCUGUUUAAUUGUUUGAGCUUCUGUCUUGUAAGAACAUGAUGUAGUUCUUAUCAUCAGCUGCAAAUGGUUGGCGAGUUCUUGAGUUUUAGAUGAUCACAUUUGGUUCGAAGUACUUGGAGAAUUGCAAUUCUCAACAAGUGGAUAUUGAUGACCAUGCUGCAAUAUGUCGGUCAGAUGGGACGCAUCUGUGUGCUCUUAUCAAAGGUUCUUUCUGAAGGAGCGGAUAGGAGGCCAACCAACAACAGGAGCAGGUGCAGCUCUGCAUUUUUGUUGAGGAGUAGGAAAUAUCAAGUAAGAAGUGUUAAAACAAAUAACAGAAAGGUAAGAUAGAGGAAAAUGCAAUUGAAUCACGAUGUCCAAGACCAGUCGGUUUCCAUUUCUUUAGCAAGGAGAUCAACAGUAAGACUGCUCUUCCACAACCUACGAUGCUUAUAUUUGGAGUCAGUAUAAAUAAUGUUUUGGCUUGUAAAGGUAAAGUUACUGCAUGUCUUGAUCUUUGUUAGACUUGCAUCCUUUUAUUUAAAUAGCCAUACUUUAUUUAUGAAGAUUUUGAUAAAUGCUAUCAUCUUAUAGAUCUAACUUCAGAUUUAUGCUGGUGAAGAUGAUACUGAAAUCAGUAUUUUUAGAGAGGUUGGACAAAAUAAACAUAGCAAGAACCUUAAAAUUUUGUGAAUGAAAGAGUAAAUUGUAACAGCACAAAAAGAAGUAGAGAAAACUAAAUCUCUUUUGAACUGUAAGUCGGUGGUGUGAAGUACUUAAGCAGCAGCAGGCAGCAGCAGGCAGCAGCAAACUUGUAUUAAUUAGGAAGUGUAAAACUAUACCUAGCAGCCAUGGAAAAAUUAGAACCCAAAAUAUAAGGGAAAAAAGAUAGAUAUGCUGCAUGAAAUACUUAAUUUUGCAACUGGGAACACUGUUUAGUAAAAUUAUUAACCCCAGUUCUAUCAGACAAUAAAGACAGGCCAUCCAGCUGGGCUGGGCAUUUAAAGUCACAGUGAGCAUGAUAUCGAGACAAGAGACAUCAAAUAAUGUGCAGAAAAAGUAGCAGAUACAUUGAUGACACACAAACAAAUGCAAGCCCGAAUGAGAUCAUGGCACAUGCCAAUCAU